UACUAAACCAGUCUUUCAGAGGCUAUACCGUAUCAAGCCUGAGACAGAUGAUGAUUCAAUAAAUGACUUUUAAGAGAGGGAAAAUGUUGUGCAACAGAAACGUAGGGCAGAACAAAUAAUCUCUGCAUUAUGAACAGGACAGUGGAAAAGCUGCUGGAAAAAAAUGCGAAAACAAUUUUUUGACUUGAGUUCAUAUUUUUCAUUCAAUGUCUGCGGGGCCCUCAAUGUAACUUUUUUUUUUUUUUGAGAGGGGUCAUCCUCCAAUCAUUAACUACUUCUAAUCUUCACUGCUACACAGAGUUUCCAAUAUUUAGCAACAGAUGGCUUUGCUUUUACCUUAUAGAUGAGGCCAAAGCACCAGGAAUAACUAACCUCAAAUUUGUAACCGUUCUGCUUUUUGCCACCCAACAUACCCUGCAGUGGCUCUCAAACCUGUACCUGAGGAAAGUGGUCCACUCCCACCAGUGAGAAGACUCACAGGGCAGCAGGGAUUCUUAGCUAGAGGGCAUAGCCAUUGAAAGAGAUGAAAACGGAAUCUCCUGGAGUGUGUGUGAUUUCAAAAAGCUCCCCAGCAUUAUUCACAGUAGCCAGGAUAUGAAAACAACCUAGGUGUCUGUCAGCAGAUGAAUGGAUAAAGAAACUGUGGUAUACGUUUAUACAAUAGAAUAUUAUUCAGCCUUAAAAAAGGAGGAG
rnacentral:lncRNA from 1 species